rnacentral:rRNA from 1 species
CAGCCGCCGCGGUAAUACGAAGGGGGCUAGCGUUGUUCGGAAUUACUGGGCGUAAAGGGCGCGUAGGCGGCCAUUCAAGUUAGAUGUGAAAGCCCUGGGCUCAACCUAGGAAUUGCAUUUGAUACUGUUUGGCUUGAGUUCGGGAGAGGUGAGUGGAAUUCCCAGUGUAGAGGUGAAAUUCGUAGAUAUUGGGAAGAACACCAGUGGCGAAGGCGGCUCACUGGACCGACACUGACGCUGAGAGACGAAAGCUAGGGGAGCAAAUGGGAUUAGAUACCCCAGUAGUCCCUGUCUCUUAUAC